rnacentral:lncRNA from 1 species
CCGAUCUGUCCGAGUUUGGGGGCUCGCUGCAUUCGUCUCGGGGCGGACAGGAGAUCUGGUCUGUUUCUCCCCGGCUGUCCGUGGUCAUACGGGAUUACUGGACUAGGUUGUAAUGCACCUGCCGGUGGUAUGAGAUCGGGCAUUUCUGCCAUGCCGUACAUGUCCUCCUGCUGCUGUACUUCGCACGUCUUUGGACUGCCGAGGAAGCCUGAGCACCUGGAGGAAACCCAACGUGAA